rnacentral:rRNA from 1 species
UAGGUCAAGCUGGAAAGAGCACAGGGUGGAUGCCUGGGCACUAAGAGCCGAAGAAGGACGUGAUAAGCUGCGAAAAGCCACGGUGAGGAGCAAAUAUCCAUUGACCCGUGGAUGUCCGAAUGGGGAAACCCGGCUGAGAAGACCUCAGUCACUGUAUGGUGAAUCCAUAGCCAUGCAGGGGGAACCCGGGGAACUGAAACAUCUCAGUACCCGGAGGAAGAGAAAGAAACAUCGAUUUCCUAAGUAGCGGCGAGCGAAAGGGAAAGAGCCUAAACCGCUAUAGAAAUAUAGCGGGGUUACGGACCACAAUAAAGCUAACACGGUAGGUAGCAGAACGGUUUUGGGAAAGCCGGCCAUAGAGAGUGAAAGCCUCGUAUGCGAAACCGAAAGUGUGGCGAGUGGGAUCCAGAGUACCGCGGGGCACGUGAAAUCCUGCGGGAAGUCGGGGGGACCACCCCCCAAGGCUAAAUACUCCUUAGUGACCGAUAGUGCAAAAGUACUGUGAAGGAAAGGUGAAAAGAACCCCGGGAGGGGAGUGAAAGAGAACCUGAAACCCUGUGUUUACAAGCUGCGAAAGCACCGUAUGAGUGCGAUCGCGUACUUUUUGUAGAACGGUCCGGCGAGUUACUGUUGCAGGCGAGGUUAAGGCCGAAGGAAGGCUGGAGCCGAAGGGAAACCGAGUGUUAAGAGCGCGUAAAGUCUGUAGCAGUAGACCCGAAACCGGGUGAUCUACCCAUGUCCAGGUUGAAGCCGCCGUAAAAGGCGGUGGAGGACCGAACACACAUCCGUUGAAAAGGGUGGUGAUGAGGUGUGGGUAGGGGAGAAAUUCCAAUCGAACUCGGAGAUAGCUGGUUCUCCUCGAAAUAGCUUUAGGGCUAGCCUCGAUUUAGAUUAACGGAGGUAGAGCACUGAAUUGCCUAGGGGGCGUCAAAGCUUACCGAAGCAUAUCAAACUCCGAAUGCCGUAUAAUCGAUGAUCGGGAGUCAGACUACACGAGAUAAGUUGGGUAGUCAAAAGGGAAAGAGCCCAGACCACCGGCUAAGGUCCCAAAGUGCGUGUUAAGUGGAAAAGGAUGUGGGAUUUCGAAGACAACUAGGAUGUUGGCUUAGAAGCAGCCAUACAUUCAAAGAGUGCGUAAUAGCUCACUAGUCGAGAGGUCCUGCGCCGAAAAUUCUCGGGGCUAAAACACGCCACCGAAGCUGUGGAAUCAUACUAGGUAUGAUUGGUAGAGGAGCAUUCUUAAAUCGGCGAAGCUGUACCGGAAGGAGCAGUGGAGAUUUAAGAAGAGAGAAUGCCGGAAUGAGUAGCGAGAUAGAAGUGAGAAUCUUCUAGGCCGAAUAUCCAAGGUUUCCAGGGUAAAGCUGAUCUGCCCUGGGUAAGUCGGGACCUAAGGCGAGGCCGAGAGGCGUAGUCGAUGGAUAACAGGUUGAAAUUCCUGUACCUCAUACAGACAGAACUGUGGGGACACGGAAGGGUAGGAAGAGCCGGGAAAGGAAAGACCGGUGCAAGCACAAAGGCGAGCCAUAGAGGCAAAUCCCUAAGGUGAUGCUGAAGUGUGAUGCGGAGCGAAGAUAGAAGUAGCGAAGCUUCCGAACCCAUGCCGUCGAGAAAAGCCGCUAUUGUUCUGUAUGAGCCCGUACCGUAAACCGACACAGGUGGAUGAGGAGAGAAUCCUAAGGCCGACGGGUGAAGCAUUGUUAAGGAACUCGGCAAAAUGGCCCCGUAACUUCGGGAGAAGGGGCGCCUGAGAGAUCAGGCCGCAGAGAAAUGGCCCAAGCAACUGUUUAGCAAAAACACAGGUCUAUGCGAAACCGAAAGGUGAAGUAUAUGGGCUGACGCCUGCCCGGUGCUGGAAGGUUAAGGGGAGAGGUUAGCCGAAAGGCGAAGCUUUGAACUUAAGCCCCAGUAAACGGCGGCCGUAACUAUAACGGUCCUAAGGUAGCGAAAUUCCUUGUCGGGUAAGUUCCGACCCGCACGAAAGGCGUAAUGAUUUGGGCACUGUCUCGACAAUGCACCCGGUGAAAUUGAAAUACCAGUGAAGAUGCUGGUUACCCGCGCCAGGACGGAAAGACCCCAUGGAGCUUUACUCUAGUCUGAUACUGGGACUCGGUAGCACAUGCACAGGAUAGGUGGGAGGCUAUGAAGCGGCAACUCCGGUUGCCGUGGAGCCGCCGUUGGGAUACCACCCUUGUGUUACUGGGUUUCUAACACGCGGCCGUGAUCCGGCCGGUGGACAAUGUCAGGCGGGGAGUUUGACUGGGGCGGUCGCCUCCGAAAGGGUAUCGGAGGCGCUCAAAGGUUCCCUCAGAAUGGUUGGAAACCAUUCGAAGAGUGCAAAGGCAUAAGGGAGCUUGACUGCGACACCGACGGGUGGAGCAGGUACGAAAGUAGGACUUAGUGAUCCGGUGGUAUAAAGUGGGAUUGCCAUCGCUCAACGGAUAAAAGCUACCCUGGGGAUAACAGGCUGAUCACUCCCAAGAGUUCACAUCGACGGAGUGGUUUGGCACCUCGAUGUCGGCUCAUCGCAUCCUGGGGCUGUAGCAGGUCCCAAGGGUUGGGCUGUUCGCCCAUUAAAGCGGUACGCGAGCUGGGUUCAGAACGUCGUGAGACAGUUCGGUCCCUAUCCGGCGCGGGCGCAGGAUAUUUGAGAGGAUCUGACCUUAGUACGAGAGGACCGGGUUGGACGAACCGCUGGUGUAUCGGUUGUACUGCCAAGUGCACCGCCGAGUAGCCAAGUUCGGAAGGGAUAAACGCUGAAGGCAUCUAAGCGUGAAGCCUCCCUCAAGAUAAGAUAUCCCAUAGCGUUAAGCUAGUAAGACCCCUUGAAGACUACGAGGUAGAUAGGACAGAGGUGUAAGUGUGGUAACGCACU